UAACCUAACCCCUUUCGAGUGGGGGGAGUAAACCUCGGGAAACCGGGGCGUAAUAACCGCAUAAUAUCGAGAGAUCAAAGGAGCAAUUCGCUUAAGGAGGGGGUCGGCGGCUGAUUAGCUAGUUGGUGAGGUAAUGGCUCACCAAGGCUAUGAUCAGUAUCCGGCCUGAGAGGGCGCACGGACACACUGGAACUGAAACACGGUCCAG
rnacentral:rRNA from 1 species